rnacentral:rRNA from 1 species
AUUGAACGCUGGCGGCAGGCCUAACACAUGCAAGUCGAGCGAGCGGCGGACGGGUGAGUCAUGUAUGUGUACUGCCCGAUAGAGGGGGCUUACUACUGCAAACGGUAGCUACUACUACAUACUAUCGGAUAACCUAUAUGGGAGUAGCUAGUAGGUGAGGUAAUGGCCAACGUAGGCGACGAUCCCUAGCUGGUCUGGGAGGAUGAUCAUCCACACUGGGACUGAGACACGGCCCAGACUCCUACGGAGGCAGCAGGGGGGAAUAUUGAACAAUGGGCGAAAGCCUGAUGCAUCCAUGCCGCGUGUAUGGAGAAGGCCCUAGGUUUGUAAAGUACAUUCAGUCGGGAGGCGUUACCGACAGAAGAAGCACCGGCUAACUCCGUGCCAGCAGCCGCGGUAAUUC